UAGAUGGUUUUAUGGGAGCAUAAAGAAUAUCUGGAUGUAGUGCUUGUACUGCAAACAAGUCCAGAUUAGAAUGUUAAACAAGGUCGAAUAUCAGGAGAGCCUGAUAAAAUCUGGAAUGGGCUUCAAAGCAAUGGUUAUGGUGGAUUUAGGAGGGAAUAGUUUCGUUAGUAUUAAUAUAUGUGGAAAUCCGGGUGCAUUGGUCACUUCAAUUAAUGGAUAUAUGAUAUUGAGGUGAAGCGGAAGAUCAGGGCCUACAGCUUAGCAUUUUCUCCUUCCGGAAUUGGGUCGGGCUCAGCCCAUGUCAGAUCUGGGCUUCGUCC
rnacentral:lncRNA from 1 species